GAUGAACGCUAGCUACAGGCUUAACACAUGCAAGUCGAGGGGUAGCAGGGUAGCAAUACCGCUGACGACCGGCGCACGGGUGAGUAACACGUAUCCAACCUUCCCAUAACUCGGGGAUAGCCUUUCGAAAGAAAGAUUAAUACCCGAUAGUACUUAUAUAGGGCAUCUUAAAUAAGUUAAAGAUUUAUUGGUUAUGGAUGGGGAUGCGUUCCAUUAGAUAGUUGGUGAGGUAACGGCUCACCGAGUCUUCGAUGGAUAGGGGUUCUGAGAGGAAGGUCCCCCACAUUGGAACUGAGACACGGACCAAACUCCUACGGGAGGCAGCAGUGAGGAAUAUUGGUCAAUGGGCGCGAGCCUGAAUCAGCCAAGUAGCGUGAAGGAUGAAGGUCCUAUGGAUUGUAAACUUCUUUUAUAGUAGAAUAAAGUGACCUACGUGUAGGUUUUUGUAUGUAUACUAUGAAUAAGGAUCGGCUAACUCCGUGCCAGCAGCCGCCGUAA
rnacentral:rRNA from 1 species